rnacentral:sRNA from 1 species
UCUCGUUUGGUCGGGGUCCGUGCUUCU